UACGAAGGGGGCUAGCGUUGUUCGGAAUUACUGGGCGUAAAGCGCGCGCAGGCGGUCUUCCAAGUCAGUGGUGAAAGCCCGGAGCUCAACUCCGGAACUGCCAUUGAAACUGUUAGACUUGAGUACGAGAGAGGUGAGUGGAAUUCCCAGUGUAGAGGUGAAAUUCGUAGAUAUUGGGAAGAACACCGGUGGCGAAGGCGGCUCACUGGCUCGUAACUGACGCUCAGGCGCGACAGCGUGGGAUCGAAACAGG
rnacentral:rRNA from 1 species